UGUGGAUUUAGCUCGAACAAUUUUAUUUCGAAAUCGUACGUCAUUUAGGGGCGUCUCAAAAAAUGACUUUUUAUACGUACCGAAUUUGGGAAAAUUUCCUUCAUGAAAGUUGUAGAGCUCAUCGAUACGAUCGCGUGCAUAUGCGGAACACAAAAAUCGGAGUUCGUAUGAAUUUAUUAUGAAUUUUGGAAUAAAUUUCCAGUUUAGUAUAUAUUUCCAUUUUUGGAAAUUUCCAAAAAAAUCAUUUCAGUUUCCAAAAUUGGAAACCGGUUCUCUCUCUCUCUCUCUCCCGCGCUCGAAGCCGGCCGGAAACUGGGUUUCCCUUCGCCGGCGUUGUUCUUGCUCCACAGGCCACCAAUCUUCACCAAACUUCUUCCAUUGGCUUCGUAUGAUCCUUGCGCACCCGUCUGUGGCAGCCUUGCACGGUGGAGUGGCCUGUAUCGGCGGCGGCGAGCUCAUUCCGAUUUGAGUUCGAUUUUAGUCAACGCCGGUUUUCUCAUAGUUCCGGCCACCAAAACUUCCGAUACUUAGCUCCAUGAACUCACCUCAACCUGCUGAUCAUCAUACUAGAAGGAUUUCACCUGGAGUGACCGGUUUCACGUUCGUCGGAGCUCGGUCUGUUUUCGAUCCGAAACGAAAAUCUUUCGAUCGGGAUAUCUCGAGCUAUAGUGCAUCGUUUUGAUUGAUUCUUGAUCCAGUGGGUUCGGCUUGAUGUUCUUAACAACUCUCUAGAAGGAAUCAAGGCCUGAAAUUGAAGUUUUUACGUCGAAAAUCGAGCUCGCCGGUUUCUGGAAAUUUUCCGGCCACCUUCAUACUGUUCAAGGUGAUUGGCGGUCUUCCUUGGUGAGCGGUUUUGGCGUGUUUUGUGAAAUUGAAGACGCAGUGGGAUUAGAGCGGGUAAUCCUGCAGGUUAGGAGAAUCAGGGCGGAGAUCGUGCGGAUUAGAGUAUGGUUUUAGUUUUACAGUGAUUGUAAUAGUGAGGUGAGUGAUGCUCAAUUUGAGCUUUACAUAUUUACUUUGUAUAAGUGAGUUGUAAUAAUAAAUUUGAGAUUUGAAAUCUGAGUGACUUGUAUUCUAGUUGAUUUUUCAUGUUUCGGAUUUUGAAUUUGUUAUUCAAAAUUCGGGGCGUGACAGUUUAUCUUCACGGGGAGAAUGAGUUUUUUGAUGAGAUGUUUGUUGGUGGAGCAUUGAAGAAAAAUCAUGAGGGUGAAGAAGAAUGUAUUGACGACCAUGAUCCAACUGGUUGAAGUAUUCAAAUCAACCAAUCAAUGACAGAUCCAAAGGAACAAAGAAGCUUGAUUGACCGGUCAAACUUAUCCAUCGACCAGUCGAAUCCUAAUGAGCAUAGUAUUGACCAGUCGAAUUCUGUGGCAGAAGAGCACAAAACUUUUUUCAACCAAUCAGAAAAUCAAGCCGAAGAACCUUUGACAGUGACUCCCUCUCCUCAUUUAUCCCUCAUUGACCAAGAUUUUCCAAGUUCUGAAGAUCAUCUGGAGGGAAAUAAUACCAAGGAGUCAAGGACUCAAGGAGCAGCGAAUCGGCAGUGGGGGUGCCAUCUUCAACUUCAGGUAAGCAUUUCAACUCUUCUUAACCAUCCAUCUUCAAUUUUGAUUGACUAAACUAAUGUUGAUUGAUGGGUGCAACGGUAAAAAGCCAUACUAUCUUUGGUGCAGAAAAACCAACCGGCUUUGGCUCUUUGAUUGGUCCCAAAGGUUCAGGCCUUCACGAUUGGAUAACGACGUCGUCGUCUUCCUUGGCGCCCUAUAUUUACUGGGGUUACAAUCUCCUUCUGUCCGGAAAGGUUGCGCCAGAGAUUGGGCUUCUCACUAAGCUCGAUCGUGAACCUCACAAUUGCCGUCGGCCUACCUUGCACAAUCGAUGGCAUCACCUCGAUUGGAUCUGCACCUUCACCGACGUAACACCUCCGUGAGGAGGACAUGCGGCGCGAGGUGGUGAUAAUGAAGGAUCUGCCUUAGAAUUCGAGAAUUACCGGCCAUCUGGCCGGGAAACUUUCUUUGGCGAGGAGAGAGAGAGAGAGAGAGAGAGAGGGAAGAGUGGAUUAAUGAUGUAAUUUAUUUUUUAGGUUGAGGUCAGAAUGGUCAUUUUACUUUAAAUUGGGCUAGUGAGAAUAAAAAUUUGUUGUUGGGGUAAGUGAGAUAACUUUGGCUCAUUUUGGGGCUUUUGGUCAAGGACCUCAGUAAAAAAUGGGACACCUAUAAUUAGGUAAAGAAAUGUACGUGUAUUAUUCGGUUUACCUAAUCUAAUGAUACGGUCAAAUAUUCGGUCAAAAAAACGCGAUACGGCAAAUUUAUAAAUUUGAAU